CGCGCCGCUGGCCGAGCGGGGGAUCGUGGUACCUGACCAUGAGCUGCGGCUUCCCGGCGAGCCGGGGUUCAGCCCCCACGGCGAGAC
rnacentral:tRNA from 1 species